rnacentral:rRNA from 1 species
CCUACGGGAGGCAGCAGUGAGGAAUAUUGGUCAAUGGCCGGAAGGCUGAACCAGGCAUGCCGCGUGAAGGGCAGGGACCUAGGGGCGUUAAACUUCUUUUGUGCGGGAGCAAUAAUGGUCACGUGGGGCCAGACGAGAGUACCGUACGAAGAAGCAUCGGCUAACUCCGUGCCAGCAGCCGCGGUAAUACGGGGGAUGCAAGCGUUAGCCGGCUUUCUUGGGGUUAAAGGGGGCGUAGGCUGUGAGGUAAGUCAGCGGUGAAAUGCCCCCACUCACCGGGGUGAAGUGCCAUUGAUACUGCCUUGCUGGACUGCGGCUGCCGUGGGUGGUCUGUGUGGUGUAGCGG